UGCAGUUCCGUAGGGAUCUGUGCUCAGAAGAGCUCGUGAUUAGCUUAAGGCUCUGCUGUCAUAGCCUUCAAAUUCGUAAUAAUUUAAAUAAAGGGCUCUACAUUUUUAUUCUGCAGUGGGCCCUACAGAUUAUGAAGGUGGUUUUGCUACCUUGCCAUCAUACUAGCCAACCUUAGGAUCCAGCCUGUUUGCUUUGAUUGGUGGAUGUUAACUUACGUCUGACCAAUGAGAUGCAAGCGUUGUGCUCUGGGGCCUUCUGGGAAAACCUUUUCUCCCUGGAAAGAGAGGGCGUCCUGCAGAGUGUUAUUUUCUCUCUGUGGCCCUUGCCUUCCUUUGAAUUUUGAGCAUUUGGAUACUCCUGUCCACACCUCCUGCUACUACCCUGAUCCAGAUAAUUCGUUUACCGCAAACGUCCCGGGCUUCUCACUAGUCUCCCAGUUCCCACGCUCCCCCUACAACCCCUCCCCACAACUGUAGUCAGAGAAAUCCUAUCAGAUCCGUCAGGUCCUGUCCCUUCUCUCUCAGACCCUCCAGGAACUUCUCACCCCUCUCUGAGUGAAAGCCCAAGACCUCACACCCCCUGCAAGGCCGCUGUAGAUCCUGCCCUGCCUCUCUUUCCAUCUUCACCCUGCCCCUGCCGCUCUGGCCUCAGUGCUCUUCAGGGAGGAAUGAGCUGUUUGCACGAGCUGGGCCUUUGCAGAGCUCUUCCCCGGGAAUCCCCGUGGCUCCCGCCCCUGCUCAUUCGGAUCCCCUCCACGAGUCAGGCCGAGCCUAGCAGAGCCGAACAGGGAGCCUGAGCUGGGACCCCGAUGACUCAGCGGAGUCCCUGCCAGCCAUGGCCCUCUUGCUCCAGGAUUCUCCUUGAUUGGAGCCUCCAGGAACUGAGGAUGCAAGCCUGUGCUGCUGACACUAGCACUUCCGGUGGACACCCUCCUCCAGUGGCAGAGAGUGUAGAACACCUGGCCCCUGGGUAUCUGCACCCCACAGCCUGCCCCAGCCCUCAGGUCCCCUCCGGAGACCCAGGGUGACGUCAGCAGGAACUGGAAAUGAGUCAGAGAGGCCUUGGUUCAGAUUCCACCUCUGCCACUUACUGGCUCUGUGGUCCUGGGUAUAUGCAUGAGCACUCUGAGCCUCAGUUUUCUUAUCUGUAAAAUGGGAAUAAAUAAAAG
ensembl:lncRNA